GGAUUAGAUACCCUGGUAGUCCACGCCGUAAACGAUGAGUGCUAGCUGUCGGAACUUUAAGUUUCGGUGGCGCAGCUAACGCAUUAAGCACUCCGCCUGGGGAGUACGGUCGCAAGAUUAAAACUCAAAGGAAUUGACGGGGACCCGCACAAGCGGUGGAGCAUGUCGUUUAAUUCGAAGCAACGCGAAGAACCUUACCUAGGCUUGACAUCCUGAUUGUAUCUCUGAGAAACCAGAGAGUCAGUUCGGCUGGAUCAGUGACAGGUGCUGCAUGGCUGUCGUCAGCUCGUGCCG
rnacentral:rRNA from 1 species